CCCUGUAUGGAUGUGUUUCUAUGCGUUCCUCCACGUCCUGACUGCCACAGCGGCCUUUCAGCACAACACUGAUGAUUAUGAUGAUGAUGUUGAAUGGGGUACAGUAUCAUUUGAUAAAUGCCUUUUUAUCAUUGAUUGUGGAGCUUGAUAGACUUUGGACUGGUUUUGAUUCCUAUUUUAUCCACAUAAACAACCAAUUUGAAUUAUCUGUCAUUGUUUUUAUAAUAAUUUUUCUGUAUCAGGAGUAACUGUACGACUAGUAAAAACCAGGAUAGAGUGACAUUAUUAAAAAUGACAACUACAUUUUACAAAUCAGUGUACAUAAUGAAUCAUUUUUAUUCAAGUAAAUAAACGUACUUAAGAAACCGAUUUCAUCUGAAAAUCAAGCAUUAUCUCUUUACUUAACUUGCAUACUCAAACUGUCCUCCUUGCUUUUCAGAUGUAGCUCAUAUCUUAGUGUACGUGUUUGGUUCUACUUUAAGUGUCAUUAAUUCAGUUGCUCUAGCAACAGAAGUGUUUCUGAAAGCAGGUGAGUACAGUAAAAACAUUUUGCAUCUCAAUGAAAACAUCUGUGGUGAUUGUCCCCUUGGUGAUGUGAGAAGUGUGUGGAUACAGUGGCUUCAGAAAGUAUUGUUGGCAUGCCAAACAACUACAACACAGUACAACAGGAGGGACUGUCUUGGGAUAAACAAGCUUUGGUUUUGUAUUUUGUCCAUAAAUUGUCUGUCUGUAACAUUAUGUUUUUUUUAAGGCAGAUGACCUUCAUCUUUAGACUUAAGCCUGAUUUAUACUUCUGCGUCGAAUCUACGCAGAGGCUAAGACACGUAGUUACAUUUCUGGGGAGGUGCGCAUCAGGCUACGCCGUGGGCUAUGGUGUAGGGAACGUAGAUACGUGUAGAAGUAUAAAUCAGGCUUUAGAUAAAGAAUAAUAUUAUUUUCUUAAUUGUAAUCUAGUUGUGAGUUGUGGCAACAGGUUGCACUGCUAAUCAAUUGAUAACUGAUAUCUUGGAUAAUAAUUAACAAAUUAAAUAAAACGCAUGCAUUUUACAUGUUGGAUAUGUGAGGGGUUUAACUGAUGCGCUCAUUUUUGGUAUUGAGAGUGGUGAAUGUUAAAUGAGGGUGUUAGCCGUUAAAACCGUUGGAUUUGGAAAACUUAUUUUAUUUAAACUUCACUCCCUGACACGAAAGUGUUAGAAAUUAUUGUAAAUGUGACCGUCUCUGAGAAAUGUGUUGUACUUGUGCUGACUCUGGAAAUCACAAGGCUGAACUGUGGGAUUCUCUGUAAGGUUUUUAUUAUGUAUGUCUUUACAGAGAAAGGGGAGCGAACUGUGGAAGAUUUUUGGUUGAUCGUCUUGCCUUUUGAAUCUUUAUUUUUGGCCUGUUGGGUUAGUUUACAGAUGUAUGCAUACUAUCAGCAGGAAAGAGAAGAAAUACAUAGAUUGCUGUGCAUUGCCCAGUGCUGCCGAAGACGAGUCCAAUCUCCAGCAUCAUCUCGGCAUGAUCAGACACGACAAGCAGAACCAGUAGAGAUGAACCUUCUCUCCACCUGAGCAGAGUACAGCACAAAGGCAGGAGGGAAUAUGAAGAUGGUCUCAGUGACGUGUAAAGGAUCCUUUGUUGUCGACACAAGGACACAGUCUAAAGGCCAGAUUAUGUGCACCCACAAUGCACUUUGCAGUAUUGUUCUUUGCUAAUUGGUACACUGAAUUAUGACACCCUUCAUCUGUAAAUAUCAGUUCUCCCUUUGCUAAUACUGCUCCAUGCUGAAAACAUGUUCCUACUUUGUUUGAAAUCAGGAUGUUUGUUUCUCAAGAACAUUUCUCUCACAUUCUGGUGAAAGCCUAGCUAGCGAACAUAGCUUUAGUUAAUGCUGUGAAAAUGUUACAUAUUUGGCCAUUUUUGUUGAAUUCAAUGGCACUUUAUUUUCUUUAUUCUUUAUUUAGGAGACGCAGUGCAUUAUGACACUGCGGUGUCAAUGCGUUUGUUACCUGCUUGUUUUCCUGAGUGUGGCAACUAACGGUGCUGAGGGUGCUACAGCACUCCUUGGUGAGCUCAUGGCAAAAUGCUUUGUAUGAGAAUGACCUUAUAAUAUUGUAAUUAAAUUCAUUAAAACACUUUACAUAA